rnacentral:rRNA from 1 species
GAUGAACGCUGACAGAAUGCUUAACACAUGCAAGUCGAUGGGGAAGUGGUGCUUGCACCAUGGUAACCAUGUCGGACGGGUGAGUAACGCGUAAGGAACUUACCUGCGGGACCGGGAUAACAGCAGGAAACUGCUGACAAGACCGGAGAAGGUCAUUAAGCUGCAUAGCUUAGUGAUGAAAGGAGACGCCUGCGGAGAGGCUUGCGUCCUAUUAGCUAGUUGGAGGGGUAACGGCCCACCAAGGCGAAGAUAGGUAGCCGGCCUGAGAGGGUGGACGGCCACAAGGGGACUGAGAGCCGGCCCUUACUCCUACGGGAGGCAGCAGGGGGGAAUAUUGGACAAUGGGGGCAACCCUGAUCCAGCAAUUCUGUGUGCACGAAGACGGUUUUCGGAUUGUAAAGUGCUUUCAGCAGGGAAGAAGGAAGUGACGGUACCUGCAGAAGAAGCGACGGCUAAAUACGUG